rnacentral:rRNA from 1 species
CAAUCACUUGUCUUUUAAAUGAAGACCCGUAUGAAUGGCAUAACGAGGGCUUAACUGUCUCCUUUUUCCAGUCAAUGAAAUUGAUCUCCCCGUGCAGAAGCGGGGAUAAAACCAUAAGACGAGAAGACCCUGUGGAGCUUUAGACACAAGGCAGACCAUAAAGAACAGCUCAAAACAAAUGGCUAUACUCAUAAGGACCCCUGCCCAACAUGUCUUUGGUUGGGGCGACCGCGGGGAAAAACAAAACCCCCAUGUGGAACGAGAGCACCCCUCUCACAACCAAGAGCUACCCCUCUAAGAAACAGUAUUACUGACCAAAAAUGAUCCGACACAGUCGAUCAACGGACCGAGUUACCCCAGGGAUAACAGCGCAAUCCCCUCCCAGAGCCCA